CUCUUAUAGAGAGAGGUAGAGGGACUGGCCCAAUGAAACCUCGGCAACCUAUCCAUGCGGAUAUGGUGCCAAUUCCAGCGGAAAUCAUUCCGGAAGAUAAGAG
rnacentral:ncRNA from 2 species